rfam:Ixodes scapularis strain Wikel colony gcontig_1108378560246, whole genome shotgun sequence.
UCCUGGUUAGCUCUUUUGGUAAAGCGCUCCACUGGGAACGGAGAGGUCCCUGGUUCGAUACCAGGACCAGGUG